CUUGCUCCUUUGACGUUAGCGGCGGACGGGUGAGUAACACGUGGGUAACCUACCUAUAAGACUGGGACAACUUCGGGAAACCGGAGCUAAUACCGGAUAAUAUGUUGAACCGCAUGGUUCAAUAGUGAAAGAUGGUUUUGCUAUCACUUAUAGAUGGACCCGCGCCGUAUUAGCUAGUUGGUGAGGUAACGGCUCACCAAGGCAACGAUACGUAGCCGACCUGAGAGGGUGAUCGGCCACACUGGAACUGAGACACGGUCCAGACUCCUACGGGAGGCAGCAGUAGGGAAUCUUCCGCAAUGGGCGAAAGCCUGACGGAGCAACGCCGCGUGAGUGAUGAAGGUCUUAGGAUCGUAAAACUCUGUUAUUAGGGAAGAACAAACGUGUAAGUAACUGUGCACGUCUUGACGGUACCUAAUCAGAAAGCCACGGCUAACUACGUGCCAGCAGCCGCGGUAAUACGUAGGUGGCAAGCGUUAUCCGGAAUUAUUGGGCGUAAAGCGCGCGUAGGCGGUUUUUUAAGUCUGAUGUGAAAGCCCACGGCUCAACCGUGGAGGGUCAUUGGAAACUGGAAAACUUGAGUGCAGAAGAGGAAAGUGGAAUUCCAUGUGUAGCGGUGGAAUGCGCAGAGAUACGGAGGAACACCAGUGGCGAAGGCGACUUUCUGGUCUGUAACUGACGCUGAUGUGCGAAAGCGUGGGGAUCAAACAGGAUUAGAUACCCUGGUAGUCCACGCCGUAAACGAUGAGUGCUAAGUGUUAGGGGGUUUCCGCCCCUUAGUGCUGCAGCUACGCAUUAAGCACUCCGCCUGGGGAGUACGACCGCAAG
rnacentral:rRNA from 1 species